CAGUUCGCUGUUUUUCUAUUUAAAGACCUCUUAUUCGACCUAAACUCUUUUCCUUCGACUUUUAAAACCCUAAAACGGCUGGAGUCAUAUUCUAACUCAUUCCUAUCAACAUUCCUCUCAAUUUUAAUCCUUGGCUGAUUUGGGUUGAUUGAUUUCUGGAUUUUAUUGUUCUUAGUCUAAUCAAGAGACCCGUCGACUGCUCGUGCUUCGGAGUCUACGCAGGGUUAGAUGUUUGCCAAGAUUUACGUGGAUAAGCAAGCAGUGAGUUUGUAGUGCUAUUUACCGCUUUAUUAAGUACCGCAAUUUAUUUUUAAUAUUAUAAAUGCUUUUGAACUGUUUUAAGCGAUUAUGGAUCUGGAUUGAAACGAGCUACUCGAUAGGUUUGUAUCGAGACUGUGUGCACCGGUAAGUACUCUGGGAAACGGCAGACUAAAGUCUUGCUUACGCUGGUAUAUAUAUAUGACGAGGAUUUGUUCCCGUCCACUCUGGGUUUAUCGGUAUGCUAUGUCAUACUUACGCUGGGAUCAUUUCAAUACUGUUUUCCAUAAUCAUACUAUAUUAGUAUAAACUGUUUUGAUUUAAGGGUUUUAAACUUAAUAAAUGUAAAUAGUAUUGCGAACUCAUCUCAGUAUAUCUGACCCCGUUGU